UACGGGGGGGGCAAGCGUUGUUCGGAAUUACUGGGCGUAAAGGGCUCGUAGGCGGCCAACUAAGUCGGAUGUGAAAUCCCCAGGCUUAACCUGGGAACUGCAUCCGAUACUGGAUGGCUUGAAUCCGGGAGAGGGAUGCGGAAUUCCAGGUGUAGCGGUGAAAUGCGUAGAUAUCUGGAGGAACACCGGUGGCGAAGGCGGAUCUCUGGGCCAUUACUGACGCUGAGGAGCGAAAGCGUGGGGAGCGAACAGG
rnacentral:rRNA from 1 species